UACGAAGGGGGCGAGCGUUGUUCGGAUUUACUGGGCGUAAAGGGCGCGCAGGCGGCCGCAUUUGUCAGGCGUGAAAGCCCCGGGCUUAACCUGGGAAUGGCAUUGGAAACUGGCGGGCUUGAGUGUGGCAGAGGGGGGUGGAAUUCCGCGUGUAGCAGUGAAAUGCGUAGAGAUGCGGAGGAACACCGAUGGCGAAGGCAGCCCCCUGGGUUAACACUGACGCUCAGGCACGAAAGCGUGGGGAGCAAACAGG
rnacentral:rRNA from 1 species